ensembl:lncRNA
GGGGGCUUUCUUCUUAGUGCAGAAGUGAUGGGUGCUGUUGGAUGGCUUUGGCACUGCUGUAGAAGUCUUUGCUGAAGAAUUAAAAUCCCUAUGUCAAAGUAGAUUUACCCAUGUGUGAGGUUCAGUGCAUGAACUUUCAGUUUGAAAUCCUUGCUGCUGAACUCUGACAUUGAGUCAGAGCUGUUCUGCUGAGAUCCCUGUCUGCGAGUGGAUUUUGCGUUGCUUUGCUCCUACAAACGAAGUUCAUUACCAGAUACCGGCUCCUUAAUGAAGCAGACCUGAUGCAGAUGGAGGGAGCAUUUUUGUUGCCUGCCUGAGCUCCCAACCCAGUGCAC